GCCCUUAGAGUUUGAUCCUGGCUCAGGAUGACCUCUGGCGGCGUGCCUAAUACAUGCAAGUCGAACGCUUCACUUCGGUGAAGAGUGGCGAACGGGUGAGUAAUACAUAAGUAACCUGGCAUCUACAGGGGGAUAACUGAUGGAAACGUCAGCUAAGACCGCAUAGGUGUAGAGAUCGCAUGAACUCUAUAUGAAAAGUGCUACGGGACUGGUAGAUGAUGGACUUAUGGCGCAUUAGCUUGUUGGUAGGGUAACGGCCUACCAAGGCGACGAUGCGUAGCCGACCUGAGAGGGUGACCGGCCACACUGGGACUGAGACACGGCCCAGACUCCUACGGGAGGCAGCAGUAGGGAAUUUUCGGCAAUGGGGGAAACCCUGACCGAGCAACGCCGCGUGAAGGAAGAAGUAAUUCGUUAUGUAAACUUCUGUCAUAGAGGAAGAACGGUGGAUAUAGGGAAUGAUAUCCAAGUGACGGUACUCUAUAAGAAAGCCACGGCUAACUACGUGCCAGCAGCCGCGGUAAUACGUAGGUGGCGAGCGUUAUCCGGAAUUAUUGGGCGUAAAGAGGGAGCAGGCGGCACUAAGGGUCUGUGGUGAAAGAUCGAAGCUUAACUUCGGUAAGCCAUGGAAACCGUAGAGCUAGAGUGUGUGAGAGGAUCGUGGAAUUCCAUGUGUAGCGGUGAAAUGCGUAGAUAUAUGGAGGAACACCAGUGGCGAAGGCGACGAUCUGGCGCAUAACUGACGCUCAGUCCCGAAAGCGUGGGGAGCAAAUGGGAUUAGAUACCCUAGUAGUCCACGCCGU
rnacentral:rRNA from 1 species